CCUACGGGUGGCAGCAGUGAGGAAUAUUGGUCAAUGGACGCAAGUCUGAACCAGCCAUGUCGCGUGCAGGAAGACGGCUCUAUGAGUUGUAAACUUCUUUUGUACGGGGGUAAACGCAGAUACGCGUAUCUGUCUGAAAGUAUCGUACGAAUAAGGAUCGGCUAACUCCGUGCCAGCAGCCGCGGUAAUACGGAGGAUUCAAGCGUUAUCCGGAUUUAUUGGGUUUAAAGGGAGCGUAGGCGGGUGGAUAAGUUAGAGGUGAAAUCCCGAGGCUCAACCUCAGAAUUGCCACUGAUACUGGUAGGCUAGAGAGUAGUUGCGGUAGGCGGAAUGUAUGGUGUAGCGGUGAAAUGCUUAGAGAUCAUACAGAACACCGAUUGCGAAGGCAGCUUACCAAGCUACUUCUGACAUUGAGGCACGAAAGCGUGGGGAGCAAACAGGAUUAGAUACCCUGGUAGUC
rnacentral:rRNA from 1 species